CAGAAACCCCUGAUAAACCCAUCAGUUUUCAUGAGACUUAUUCACUAUCACGAGAAUAGCAUGGGAAAGACUAGCUCCCAUGAUUAUUACCUCCCCCUGGUUCUCUCCCAUAACGUGGGAAUUCUGGGAGAUACAAUUCAAGUUGAGAUUUGGGUGGGGACACAGCCAAACCAUAUCACUGACUUAUUUCACUUAAGACAAUAUUUCCAGUUUCAUCUUUGAUGCUGCAAAAGAUGUGAUUCUGUUCUUUUUUUAUGGCUGAAUAUACACUACAUUUUCUUUAUCCAACCAUCUGGUGAUGGAUACUUAAGUUGAUUCCUUAUCUUUGCUACAGUUCAGUGAUUUUUAAAGUAAACUUACAGAGUUGGGAAAUCAUCAUCAUAAUCCACUUGGAACAUUUUUAUCUCUGCAACAAGAUGUGUCCAUUUGUAGUCACAACUUGUUCCCACCACAACCCCCAGGCUGCCAGGAAUCUACUUUCUGUUUCUAUACAUUUUUUCUGGGCAUUUUAUAAAAAUGGAAUCAUGAAGUCUUUUGUGUCUGGCUUCUUUCACAGUAUAAUCUUUUUGAGAGUCAUCUGUAGUACUUGUGUUUCCUCUUAUUGUUGAAUAGCAGCCCAUUGUAUGGGCAUACUGUACUUUGUCUAUGCAUUCACCAGUUGGUGGACACUUGAAUUGUUUCCACAUUUUGGCAACUAUGAAUAAUGCUGCUAUGGACAUUCGUGUACAAGUGCUCGUGUAGACAUAUUAAUAUGUAAUCUUGUUCUAAAAGUCUAAAAUUCUAAGAAUUUAUCGAACUUGUGAAGAGAAUGACUAUUGAAACUAGCCUUGGUUCUUAUCCUUUGGAUGUGACUACAUUUUUGUCAGAAUGUCAUGAAGAAGCAUAAUUAUUUAUAUCCAAGAUAGAAUUUAACUUUCAAUUAAAAAAUGUUAAAGUUGAUUUUUAAUAAAAUACUUGGACAAAAGUAGAUCAGGGAUUAGGUUGAUUGCUUUUAAAUUUUAGUGUAAAAUUUCAAGAAAGGUUAGACUAGAUUCCAGUGGCUGCAAUGCUGCACAGCUAUAGGCCGCAUCCUCUCAUUGGAGUUGUGUGUGCAGGUGUGCCCUUCAUGUGGGAUGCAGUGGGAAUGGUGCCGUCCAGAGCUGUGUGUGAACAGGUGUCCAUACUGCUAGUCUUUGAGUCUGGGUAAUCUCCACUCUGUCCCUGGAGGGUGGGCCUGUUCUGCUUCUAGAGGUCAAUGCCAAGUCAGAAAGGGAGUCAAGGCCCAGAAUGCCACUCUGCAGACUACUAUAGUUCCAGACUCUAGGGAGUCCUGGGCAGGGGGCUUAUCUUAAACCAAAGGAAUUUCAGACUAGAAUUGUAGAUGGUGCCCUUGAAGAGCUGAUGGGACAGAUUGAAAGUCCUGACUCCCAGCUAAAGCAGUAUCCUACACACCCUCCCAUCUGGAGAGAUCUUGGGCUAGAUGCCCCCAGUCUAACUGAGACGCUGACUUUGGAGGGUUGUUCCAGCCUUGCAAUAGUAGUACCUUUUUGUUUAGGUGGGAGUGGAUUAGAACAGUGGGUAAAGUUUUGGGGUGAAAGAAGCCAACUGGGACAUAUGUCUUAGGGGGACACAGGCUUUGUCCAUCCUUUCUCUAAAAGUACUGGGCUGAACCCUCUCAGCAGAGAGUUGUGGAAAAUUAGAGACGUUCUGUGGAAAGACCAAGUUAAUGUUCAAGUCUCAGAAUCUGAUCUUAGGUCAAAUAUCUCUUGCUUUUGCCAGUAAAAAGAGCCCAGAUGUUUUUCUAUUUACUUAGGCAAACCCUUGAAACACAAGUUAGUCAUAUAAAACUUUACAUUUGCAAUGUUAAGAGCCCAUAUUUGGAAAGUCACAAGCAUAAAAUAUAUACUGUGAAAUGGGAGGUCAGGACGGUGAACUCAUUUCAGAACCAUAGUUUUGACUCAAGAAUUUUGAUGGGGUCUUCACGUUGGUUGAGCUUCUUGGUCCUAAUAUCAUUGAGAGAAUUAAAUCAUGAUAUUAAAACAUUGAAACACUAAUGCUUUGUUUUUAUUGGCAAGAACCAAAAUGAUCUAAUACUAAUGCCACGAAACAUCAGUCACUUUUUUCCUGAUGAAUAAGAUGAACUUUGGCUGCUUAUGAUAGUAAAUUUAAUAAUGUCAGUGAUUUGAACUGUUUCAGUUCUAAAUGUGCAGAAAUGUGUUUUACUGCAUCUCUCUCUCUCUCUCUCUCUCUCACACACACACACACACACACACACACACACUACUUCUGUCAGGAAGUUUUGUGGCAAAUGAGCCCAAAUGCAUAGAUUAGAGCAUAUCAUUCACAUGUGCCAUGUGUGUGCCAAAGUGUGCGUACCCACUGCUAGACUUCCUCUCACAGGUGGUCUGAAUUUGCUUCUAGCUGGUCCUGUAAGCAGAUUUAAUAUUUCAUAAGCACUGCUCCAUCUCAUGCCUCCAUUAUUGACACCACAUGGAAGUCAGGAAAUUGGUUCUUUCUGGGAACAGUUUGCAGAAAUAUGCAGCCUGUCAGCCCCUUUCUCAUGGGUGCAUUAACAGAGCAGCUCACGAUUACAAGUAACGAACCUUCUCCAGAUGUGUGUAGCAACUCAGCUCCAACUUUAUCUUCGGCCCUGAAGAUGGACUUGGCAAGAUGGAUUAUUUGUGGCUGUAUUGUAAUAACUUUGUGAAAUUGGAAUUCCCAGUGAUUGUAAUGGAGGGUGAGGAAGCGGCAGCAGAGGAACAGAUAAUUUCUCCUUGCAGUAAACAACGAAAAGACCAACAACAAUAAAAAGGGCAAAUCAGCUGUGGCAUUUUCCUGCUUUGGACACCGACUCUUCCAGACUGUUCUAAUUCUUUCCCUUUUAUGAUUCUGUUUAUGUUACACACAUUAAAGUUAAGUCAUGUCUUAAAUAAGAUGGAAACUGGAAGUGAGAUUUGGAAAUGACUGAAUCAGGCUUCUUAACUUUUUUCUUCUCUUGGAGAGCUCAAAAACAACGGACAGAAAGGGAUAUACCAAAGAAAACAAUAUUAAUUGUCGGCUUCCAUGGAAAAUUCAAUCCAGUCUUUCAUUCAUUCUCUUCCCAGUGCAGUGCCAGCAGACUUCUCUCUAUAUGGCUAAGGGCUUAAUUUAGCUGACAAAUUUCUGAAGGAUAACUAAGCUUUCAGAAAGAAAGAUUCUAGCUAUAAAUGAAGCAUGUGUGCUCUCUCAGUCACAAAAGACAGAUUUUUCCAGGAUAAAGUAAUUUGGGGUAAAUUUCUCCUGUAUUUUAUUAGCAGUGAUGAUUUCAAGGGAGUAUUCUUUUAAAGCAAGGCAGUAUUUAAAUCUUUCUUUUAAAUCACAAGUCCCUUGAGUUGAUAGUUAUAAAACUGGGUUCCACUGGGAGUUAUUUGUACAUCUUCAAGGUUGGCACCCUUAGUUGUUUGAUGUAGAUGUUCUAGAUAAAAUUCCUAAAGUCCAGCUGUUAUGAUUUAGCUUAAUAUGUUUGUACAGAGGGGUUUCCUUUGUCAUUGAAGAGAUAGAGUCAAAACAGAAUUAGUCAUUCUUGCAUCUUCUAUUUAUAGCCCACUAUUAUUCUGAUGCAUUGUCAAAGAAUGAAGUGGACAAGAAUUUUUCUUCCUUUCUUUCUUUUUUUUGUGUAAACAAAACUCUUUUUAUACUCUGUGGAUUUAACUUUGGUUGCUAACUUAGUCAGACAAGGCACUUAACAAAAAUAUUACUUCUUAAAUGAAAAAUUACCUAUUAAGUCAUCCCAUCUUCAUUUGCAAAUUAAAGGUUUGUCAGUACAAAGUAUGUGGGAUGACCAGAAGUCAUGGAUGACUUACACUGAAGUGGCAAGGGUAGAAAAGGUCAGUUUGAAAAUUUAUUUGUAUGGGUUGCUCAUGACUAAUAGUCCAAAUCUGGAGAGUUUAUAAACAAAAUUCUAUUCUGUUUAUUUAGUUUAUGCCAGCAUUAAAGCUAGCCUGAAAAUUUAGUGAAAGUCAUUUAAGGAAUUUUUAUUUGGAGGAAACUUUAAUUUUUAUUUUUGAGGUCACUGAAUAAAUGUAGAGGUCUCUGUGGCCUGUACUGCAACAAGUAGAACAGUUAGAUAAACUGGUUGUUGAAACUCCCUGGGCCACUGAGUUUUCUUAUUUCUUUUUUUUUUUUUUUUAGUAGAGAGCUGACUUUAGAGGGAUCAAGAAUAGCUUGCUGGAUGGAAGGAGCUUGGGGCCAGUCAUCAUCUUAAAGGCUCUGUGGCAGCUUGGACUUGAAGUAGGGUGCACCCGGAAUUGACCAAUACAAACAGUGGACUGCACUGGAUUCUUCUUGUGCCCUGUCUCAUAUCCUCUUGUCCCACCUUUUCAUAACAGCCAUUGCCAUGGGAACCAGCUGCAUCCAGGCUAGAGCAAAAGGAGGUACAAAACCAAAUGCUAAGAAGCUGCUGCAUUUACUGAGAUAACCGUCUUCAGCUAAUGUGAAGCACCUACAACUUACAUAGAGGACUGCAGUAAAUACCUUAAAAACACAACCUCAUUCCAACCACAAGAAUCCAAUCAGAGAGGUAAGUAGUAUUAUUUUCCAUAUUUUAUAAAAAAAGAAACCAAACAUAACAAGUGUAACAAUCCAUCCAAGUUCACACCACCAAUUAGCAGUGGAGUUGGAAUUCAAACCCAGGUAUUCUGGUACAAAGAAUACAAGCAUUGAAUGCUAAGCUGAAAAAUAUUAUUAGGUCAAAUCCAACCUAUUCUAUGAAUAAUUGUUUUAAAAUCUGAACAAAUAUAGCAUAAAAAUGUAAGGUUUUUAAAUUUUGUUUUUCGAACAAAAAAUAAUUUUUUGUUAAACAUUUCUAAUCAUAAACCUUUUGGGUUAAUGUCUCAUGUAGAAUAACCAGAAAAUGACCCAAAGCUCCUUCUGCUCCUUUUUACAAAGAAAUGUUAUUUAAGAAAUAUCAAUCAGCCCGUUAUUAUUGUUAUCAUUUCUGCACUUUGGUACCACAGUUCAUCCCUAAAUUAGACACUGCAAAGAACAUAUAUACACUAAGAGGAAUUUAUAAUCUAAAAUAAGAGGAAACAAAUAUACAGUCAUGCAUCACUUAACUGGGACACAUUCUAAGAAAUGAGUUGUUAGGGGAUUUCAUCAUUGUGUAAACAUCAGAGUGUACUUACACAAAUUUAGUGUUGCCUAUUACACACCUAGGCCAUACGGUAUAGCCUAUUGCUCCUAGAUACAAACAUGUAUAGCAUGUUAUUGUACUGAAUACUGUAGCAAUUGUAACACAAUGGUAUUUGUGUAUCUAAACACAUCUAAACAUAGAAAAGGUACAGUAGAAAUACAAUAUGAAAGACAAAAAAAUGGCAAUCUACAUAAGGCACUUACCAGGAAUGGAGCUUGCAGAACUGGAAGUUGCAGUCAUUUAGUGAGUGAGUGAUGAGUGAAUGCUAAGG
rnacentral:lncRNA from 1 species